GAUGAACGCUGGCGGCGUGCCUAAUACAUGCAAGUCGAGCGAACAGACGAGGAGCUUGCUCCUCUGACGUUAGCGGCGGACGGGUGAGUAACACGUGGAUAACCUACCUAUAAGACUGGGAUAACUUCGGGAAACCGGAGCUAAUACCGGAUAAUAUAUUGAACCGCAUGGUUCAAUAGUGAAAGACGGUUUUGCUGUCACUUAUAGAUGGAUCCGCGCCGCAUUAGCUAGUUGGUAAGGUAACGGCUUACCAAGGCAACGAUGCGUAGCCGACCUGAGAGAGUGAUCGGCCACACUGGAACUGAGACACGGUCCAGACUCCUACGGGAGGCAGCAGGAGGGAAUCUUCCGCAAUGGGCGAAAGCCUGACGGAGCAACGCCGCGUGAGUGAUGAAGGUCUUCGGAUCGUAAAACUCUGUUAUUAGGGAAGAACAAAUGUGUAAGUAACUAUGCACGUCUUGACGGUACCUAAUCAGAAAGCCACGGCUAACUACGUG
rnacentral:rRNA from 1 species